AGGUCUUGGUCUUGAACCUCUUAUUAUCUAAAAUCAUUUGUUUAUACAUGCAAGCCUCAUCACAACAGUGAAACAGCCACAAUAAAUCUUAGAGCCGGUAUCAGUCUAUUACAACGACACCAAGCGAACAGCCACACCCCCACGGGUCUACAGCAGUAGUUAACAUUAGGCCAUAAGCGGAAGCUUGACCUAGCAAAAUGAACAUAGGGCCGGUUAAUCUCGUGCCAGCGACCGCGGUUAUACGAUAGACCCAAGAUAAUACUAACGGCGUAAAACACGACUAAAUAUAAGUCUUAAACUUAGGGCAGAACCUAGCUGGGCUGUAAAAAGCCAUAAGCCACAAUAACCACCACCCCUAACACCACACAACUUUGACUCGUGAAAGUCAGGACAUAAACUAAGAUUAGAUACCCUACUAUACCUAACUGUAAUACACAAUUAAACCACCAAUUGUUCGCCAAACAACUACGAGUAAUAACUUAAAACUUAAAAGACUUGACGGUGCUUCAUCACAACCUAGAGGAGCCUGUCUAACAACCGACAACCCACGAUUAACCCAACCCUUUCUUGCCAACAGUCUAUAUACCGCCGUCGCCAGCUUACCUUGUAAAGGAAAUAUAGUGAGCUAAAUAGUACUGCACUAAAACGACAGGUCGAGGUGUAACCAAUGAAAAGGAUCAAGAUGGGCUACAUUCUCCUGACCCGAGAAUACGAAUAACACUAUGAAAAUUAGUGCUUGAAGGCGGAUUUAGCAGUAAGAUAAGAAUAAAACACUUAACUGAACAUAUAGCAAUGAAGUGCGUACACACCGCCCGUCAUCCCUGCCAAACACAAUUAAUUUAAAUAAACCUACCCUAAAAUUAAACCAGGGCAAGUCGUAACAUGGUAAGUGUACUGGAAAGUGUACUUAGAAA
rnacentral:ncRNA from 1 species